CAAAUUUGUAUUGUUAUUUUAUUUACAGUAAUGCUAGGGUGUAGGAUACGCUUCUUGACUAGUCUCAGAAAAUAUCUUACGAUUAUAUACUCUCAUGUGUGUCCUUAGAUCUUGCUACAGUACAUACUUUGUUUGCAUAUAUACCCUGCGUAGGCUAGUCAAUCUAUGCCACGCUAUCGGUUCAAUAGCCAUGUCUAUGGUGGCUUCAACCCUGGUCACAAUAGCUCGGGAUGGCUGGAGUGUUGUUAACAACUAGUCAGGUUGACGCACGAUGCGCGUCUAUACAAAUGUUAACAUGAAAUAACGAUGAAAUGCAAAUUUGUUAUGUUAUUGUG
rnacentral:lncRNA from 1 species